rnacentral:rRNA from 1 species
UACAGAGGUCUCGAGCGUUGUUCGGAUUCAUUGGGCGUAAAGGGUGCGUAGGUGGCGCUGUAAGUCGGGUGUGAAAUCCUGAGGCUUAACCUCGGAACUGCAUUCGAUACUGCGGCGCUUGAGGACUGGAGAGGAGACUGGAAUUCAUGGUGUAGCAGUGAGAUGCGUAGAGAUCAUGAGGAAGACCAGUGGCGAAGGCGGGUCUCUGGACAGUUCCUGACACUGAGGCACGAAGGCCAGGGGAGCAAACGGG